GGCUAGGGAAAAAAAAUUUUCUUUUCCCGUGCUGCUGUCACGCGGUGCACAAAGAAUUUCUCGGGGGAGCUAAGCUUGAUGUUUUUGACCGGGCCACAAGCAUGGAUCAGGCCCAAAUUGGAAAAAACAAAAAAGAAAAACACAAGUGGUGUGAAGAAGGCAGACUCUAGAUGGGAGUCUCUUUCUUUCCAAUUUUGCAGAGAGAAGCUAAUGCCGAGAGAGAUUCCAACCUUUCUUUCGGCAACCUCUAGAUGGGAGUCUCUUUCUUUUCAAUUUUGCGGAGAGAAGCUAAUGCUCAGAGAGACUCCAACCUUUCCUUCAUUUCCUCUUCGAUCCCACACUUUAAAUAGAGUGCUUGGUUCAUGAUCGAAAUAAAAAUUGAAAUAGAUUGGAAUGGAAAUUGGAAUGAUCAAAUCAUCUGAAGCGUUUGGUUUAUAAUUAAAAUCGAAAUUAUAAUAAAAAUUUGAAUCCAUAGAAGAGAGCAGAGGUUGAGUUUUAGAUUAAUUGGAUCAUUCUCAUUCCAUUUCGGAAUUAGAAUGAAACUCCUCCC
rnacentral:lncRNA from 1 species